rnacentral:rRNA from 1 species
UGGCUCAGGACGAACGCUGGCGGCGUGCCUAACACAUGCAAGUCGAGCGAGGAGAUUCCUCGGGAUGAUCCUAGCGGCGGACGGGUGAGUAACACGUGGGCAACCUGCCUCAUAGAGAGGAAUAGCCUUCCGAAAGGGAGAUUAAUACCUCAUAACAUUGCAGUUUCGCAUGGAACAGCAAUUAAAGGAGUAAUCCGCUAUGAGAUGGGCCCGCGGCGCAUUAGCUAGUUGGUGAGGUAACGGCUCACCAAGGCGACGAUGCGUAGCCGACCUGAGAGGGUGAUCGGCCACAUUGGGACUGAGACACGGCCCAGACUCCUACGGGAGGCAGCAGUGGGGAAUAUUGCACAAUGGGGGAAACCCUGAUGCAAGCAACGCCGCGUGAGUGAUGACGGCCUUCGGGUUGUAAAGCUCUGUCUUCAGGGACGAUAAUGACGGUACCUGAGGAGGAAGCCACGGCUAACUACGUGCCAGCAGCCGC